AGCGAACGCUGGCGGCGUACUUAACACAUGCAAGUCGAACGGGGAUCGACACGUGAGCAAUCACGUGGCGGUCUUAGUGGCGUACGGGUGAGUAACACGUGGGCAACCUGCCCUUGAGUCUGGGAUAACCUCCCGAAAGGGAGGCUAAUACCGGAUACGGUCCUCGGGUCGCGAGAUCUGAGGAAGAAAGGUGGCGCAAGCUACCGCUCUUGGAGGGACUCGCGGCCUAUCAGCAGUUGGUGAGGUAACGGCUCACCAAGGCUAUGACGGGUAGCUGGUCUGAGAGGACGACCAGCCACACGGGGACUGAGACA
rnacentral:rRNA from 1 species